AGUGGGGAAUUUUGGACAAUGGGCGCAAGCCUGAUCCAGCCAUUCCGCGUGCAGGACGAAGGCCUUCGGGUUGUAAACUGCUUUUGUACGGAACGAAAGGGCUCUCUCUAAUACAGGGGGCAUAUGACGGUACCGUAAGAAUAAGCACCGGCUAACUACGUGCCAGCAGCCGCGGUAAUACGUAGGGUGCAAGCGUUAAUCGGAAUUACUGGGCGUAAAGCGUGCGCAGGCGGUUUUGUAAGACAGAGGUGAAAUCCCCGGGCUCAACCUGGGAACGGCCUUUGUGACUGCAAAGCUGGAGUGCGGCAGAGGGGGAUGGAAUUCCGCGUGUAGCAGUGAAAUGCGUAGAUAUGCGGAGGAACACCGAUGGCGAAGGCAAUCCCCUGGGCCUGCACUGACGCUCAUGCACGAAAGCGUGGGGAGCAAA
rnacentral:rRNA from 1 species